UAGGUGAAAUCUAUUUGGCCAGUUGCGCGUAAUUUGAGUGCUCGCGGGUUUGUGAGUCGGAAGAGUUUGAGUGACCGUUCGGUUGUUCCGGUUAGGUGUACCGGGUUGAGCUCAAUUAGAGCGGUAGGAAACAAAAAGCCUUCAAAUAGCGGGUGAUAUCCGACGGUUUAGGGUUGCCAGAGCUAGAGCUUAGGGUAAACGGCGAAACUUAUUUGUAAGUUCAUAAAAGAUUGU